rnacentral:lncRNA from 1 species
AUGACUCAUGCUGGACCUCCUCAUGAUAGGACCUCCCAGGGGGCUUUGUGGGCUGUGCAGAGAUGCACCUGCAGCUCGGAGGACUGAAACAUGAAAGAGACAGCCCAGAGCACACUCAGCUCCACUCCACUUACUUCUUUUCUCUCCCCACCCCAUUCUGCAGCCUUCUUUGUCAGGGUGCUGAAUUCUUUGGUUCAUGUCUUUAUGUACCUGUACUAUGGACUGGCCAAUCUGGGGGCCCACCUGCAGCCCUACCUGUGCUAGAAGCGACUCUUACCAUCCUGCAGCUGGUGAGAAAGACCUUCUGGCACCAAGGGCCACAGCUGAGCCCAGGCUUCUAUUCUUGGCUGCACCAGUGACGAGUUAUCUGUCCUUCUCAUCACUGGAUCUUCCUUAGUCUCUCAACUUGCAAGGGUCUCAGUCACCAGCUCACCAGAUCCUAGAACUAACCCAGACUCCCUGAUGAGAUGUGGGCCCAGAGCAAGUGACUAACAUGCUUCAGGCCUUUUAUCUUCAGUGAAAUGAGGCGGCUGGGCUAGAUGACCUUGGAGGGCUAAUGGCCUGUGUGUCUGUGGUCACCAAUCUACCCCCAGGGGCCUGGGGACCCUGUGGUUUGGGGAGUACCAAUACCAGGUGGUGGUGACAACCUGAGCUGUCCUUCUUGGGGCUCAGGAUGAGUUGAGGUCAUCGUCAGUGUCAACCAACACGACAUGGCUGGGUGGAGGCAACCUGGGGACCAGACCAGGAAGAGGAUCAGGAAGUUUCUUAGGAUCAUGGGUAGGAAAGCCUGGGGAUGGUGCUUUACCAGGCUUCAAAAUUCCUGUUCUUCCUGAGCCAUGGGAGGUCCACCCCUGCUGAUAGAGGGAAUGACAAGAAAGUCAAGGGAGACUCCCUCCUGCCCUCAGCACUGCCCCUCACCUUCUCUUGUCUUCUCUUUCCUCUCAUAUUUCCUCUCCCUAGGGCCAAUGUGUGACCAUUGCUGCCUACUCCUCCUGCAGUCUCUUUGCCAAAGAGUGUCCAUUCCCUGGCAGGCUCAAUGUGACCAUUCUCCUGUACACCCUCAGUCUCAUCAGCCUUUCCCUUAACUUCUACCACCAGACAUACCUGAGAGGCAAGUGGGAGAAGCUGACCUACAAGGUGGGGCCAAGGACUGAAACUAGCAGAGCCCUCCCCAUGGAGAGUUUGGCGAAAGAUGAUACGGCCCACAGCCCACCCGUGCUGAGCAGAUUCCUCUGGGCAAGUAUUUCAUCCUAUGAGGAAAGGACAAUAACAAUUCUCGCCGCCUUCCCAGAGUUCAGGAGGACAGAACUGGACCCAGCUUCCUGAACGCACAUCUCAUGUGGAUUUGUCACUAUUUGCACACCUCCUUCCUCUACUAAACGUGAGUCCUUCUGAGGAGGGACUGCACUCUCAGUGGUCCCCACCCCUGGCACAGUAUCUCAAUAAAUGUGCAUUUAGACCCCUAUAUUCCCCCAUGGGCAGUCAGGGCUGGGAGCAGGGUUGGGAGCAUGGAGGAAGGCAAGGCUGGUUUGAUCUUCCCCUUGCAGGCAGAGAGGAUGGCUGAGAAUAUCUAAUCUAAGGAGUGUGGGUCUGUGUGAUUUCUCUUGGGGCUAUGCCAACAGUUCCCCUGCACAUCUUUCUGUCUGUUCACUAUUACCUAAGGUGCAUUUACACAGUUGUAUGAUUCUGUGUGUAUGGGGCAGCAGAAAGGGCUACUCAUACAUGUCCAAAUACUUGCUUUUGAAUACACGUGUGUUUCCAUUUAUGAUUUUCUCUGUUGGUGUUUUUUGUUUGUCUCUUCUGUAAAUCUUGGAAAGUGCCAUGCUAGCCAAAUAAAAGCUGCUGGGAUCAUUAACACUUCUGUCCUGAUGGGAAACAUGGAUUCCGUGAGAAAUCUCUGCAUACAUGGUCCACCGAGAGCUUCCAAAGAGGGAUGUGAGAAAAGGAGGGAUGGGGUGUAAUGAAUGCCGCCAUCCGCUUGCCAGAGGGGGAACUAGGGCCAGCCAAAGGGAGCCAACCACAGAGUUGGCAGAAGCAAACAUCUGCUGGGCUGGUUAAGACCAGAACUGGAUGGGUGUCCGGAAUGCAGAUUUCCAGGGAGCUGCCUCUAUGCCUUUGAGCUGCUGCUCCUUCUCCUUUAUAAUCUCUCCCGUUAGCUCUUUCCCUCCAGUAGAGAAGUUCAUAUUUGGUGAUGCCUCCACUGCCAAGAACCUUAAAGACCUGACAAAGGUUUCAUAAGGUUAUUUGGGGACUGUUUAUCCAUCAGGUGCUCCGGUUAAUGAACUCAAGGCCAGGCGGGGCUGCAUCCUGUGGACAGAAUACUCAGAGAAAAUUUCCUCCCAGCUACGCAGGAUGCAAACACAUCCCACACACUCUUCCACAGCAGGUUGAGUGCCUUUGCAGGUGGGGGCCUAUUUUAAGGCAAUCUUUAAACACACACACACACACACUCAGAAGUGAGGUCUGUUCACUUGCUUAGCAUCCAGAAUAAGAGACGGCUUAGUCAUCCCAGGGUUCAGAGCUGACACGUGUCCAGUCCUUUGUGGCUGCCUCUCCCUGAUUUAAGUAGCACAAGAGGAAGCAAAAUGUCCUGGGUCACGUCUCAAUGAAACAAGAUUUGGGUGGCAGGGAGAGCCUGGGGGAAGGCAAUGUGGUGGGGAGGGUUUGGGGGGAAAUUCUCAGUGCACUGAAGCUGUCCAUCAUUUUUUUUUUUUUAAGUUGCACUUUGUUAUAACAAUGUGACCUGGUUCAGGGGUGCUGUGCAGGGGGCUCUUUCGUGUGGAAAGAGUGUGUGAAAUUAUAAAACAUAAAGUUAUUUGAAUUUGUCAACACACAGCCACAUUCUUAAUUAAGAUGGUAGAAGUUUGGGAGUUCCCGUUGUGGCGCAGUGGAAAUGAGUCUGGCUAGGAACCAUGAGGUUGCGAGUUCGAUCUCUGGCCUCGAUCAUGUCUGUAACAGCCCUGGAUUGGGUAUCUUGCAUGGCAAUGAUGGUCAACCUACCUUAGGAUCUAGAAACUGUGAAGAAAAUGCUUUCUGUAGCUGAAAAGAGACUGGCCCUGAAUCACCCUAGUGAUGGAGCUGGGCUAGGUCUUGGCUUCCUGACUCCCCGACUGGGGCUCUGCCUCCCCCAGGACUGGGUCAAGGUGAAAGGCAUUUAUUCCCAUAAACAGGGCCAUUUAAGUAUGCAGGUCCUGGAGCUACUCCUAGUGGGAAAGUUGGUAUCGGGUAUCUAUAUCUCCCCCUCCACCCUCAGCCCGCAUCUUCUUCCUCACCCCUCUGCCAGACACACUGCCUCCCCAGUGAUUGAAUUCACCUUUUAGCUCACCGGGUGCCAAACCUCACAUGGGAUCAAGAUGAAAAGAGAGGAAGAAGGAAGAGACGCAGAGGGAAAACAACGUUAAAAGUAGCUUACUUUUUCAAGGAAGAAGGAAAAGGAGUUCCCGCUAUAGCUUAGCAGGUUAAGAACCCGACUGGUAUCCAUGAGAAUGCAGGAUCCAUCCCUGGCCUCCCUCAGCGGGUGAAGGGUCCAGGGUUGCUGUGAGCUGUGGUAUAGGUUGCAGAUGCGGCUCNUGGCGUUGCUGUGGCUGUGGCAUAGGCCAGCACCUGCAGCUCUGAUUUGACCCCUAGCCUGGGAACUUCCAUAUGCUCCAGCCCUAAAAACACAAAAACAAAAAAAACCCCAAAAAAACACUGGGCCCAAACACCAGAUUGAUUAAUAACUGAAAGCUUCCCUAAUCUUUGUCCCUGCUUCCAAUGUAGGACCAAUCACAGAAAGCUAAGUGUGCAUUCUAACCACAUAGGAUUUCCGCUUGCAUUAGCGUGUUCUCUAGGCCAAGAGCCCCCGACCAGGGCACACCUGAAGCUUUCUCUUUUACCACUCUCAUGCUUUCCCACCUCUGUCUGCCUUCGAAUCUCUGCCAAGACACAAACGAUGGUGGCUAAUAGCCUGCUAUAGCCAGCUCUGAAUACAUAGCCUUUGCUUGUUCCCAUUUGGUUGGGCUUUGUUUAUUUCCACGUGGAGAAGUGUGCUGGGCUUGCACAGGCAGCAGCCUUAAGGUCAGAGGGUGGUAUGGCCCGCCUACACCAGGGAGGGCCUGAGACAGCGCCCCUAGCUCCCCGUGGCUUUACACUAGCCCAGGAGUUAGGGUUGCUAGAUAAGAUGCAGGAUUCCCACUAGGCUUGAAUUUCCCCUCCAAAAAAGCCAAGAAAAAUUUUAGCAUAAAUAUAUCCCAAGCAGUAUUUGGGGCAUACCUAUGCUAAAAAAGUAUUCCUUGUUUAUCUGAAAUUCAAAUAUAACUGGUGUCCUAUAUUUUUAUUUGCUAAAUCUGGUCAUCGUACAGGAGGGUAACUAAAACUUCCCAUGCCCCACUCCCAGAAGGGGAAACAAAAAGUUAAGAAAGAGAAGAGCACCUUGGUGGGGCUACAGAGAGUUUUAGAGCUAACAGGAGGGGGACACAUCAGAGAUGACACGGGAAACCUCCCAAGAUUUUGAAUGGGGCUUCGGCAGCAUCUCAAGGGAUUUCUGGGGUGGAGCAGCGAGGCCAAGAACGAGAACAGAAAUGAUUAUUCUGGUGCUGGAAUAUGAGAUGAAGACAUAUCUAGGUCUAGGGAGUUCCCAUUGUGGCACAGUGGAAACGAAUCUGACUCGUAUCUGUGCGGACGUGGGUUCGAUCCCCGGCCUCGCUCAGUGGGGUAAAUAUCCAGUGUUGCCGUGUGAGCUGCGAUGUAGGUUGCAGACGAGGCUUGGAUCCUGCGUGGCUGUGGCUGUGGCUGUGGCGUGGGCUGCGAUUUGACCCCUAGCCUGGGAACUUCUAUGUGUCACGUGUGUGUCUGUAAGCACUGCUCCCCCCAUGCCCUCCCCACCCCCCUACUGUGAGCUUAACAUCCAGCUGCAGAAAGAAAGAAACAGGAUGGGAGAAAUAGCCUGACUUUGAUGGAGGUAUCAACCUGAAACAUCAUUUUAGGACUUCUUGGGGAGUGUGUCGACAUUGCCAGAUUUAACGGGUUUUCCUGGAAGUGACGAGAUGAAUUUUCUGCUGUUAGAAUGAAGCCUCAAUAUUAAAAAUAUUCUGAAUCUGGUUAUAGAAAACUGUAAGGAAUUAACAUUUUGCACAUGUGAAUUCAUUGUCUGUGAGGCUUUGAAAAAUUCAUACUCACUGUAUAUAUGGGCUUCAUGUCUAUUGAAGCACCAAUUGGAGAUACAGGGCACUUUUGGAAAAUGAAACCUCCCCGUCUCCAUCCUCCAACCCUCGCUCGCCAAUCUGGCAAUUUCCCCAGGGAGUCGUUUUCUCCGGAGAGAAAUGUUGCAUCUCACUUUAUUUGGUCUGUAUUUGGAAAACAGUUUUAUUUUCAUCUUCCAUACACCAGAUAACAUUAUUGCAUUGCAUAUAUUUUUCCACCUUCAUGCUCGUCUCCUAUCCCUUAAUGUUGACACCCUUCCCUAGACUCCUCCUGGGUAGAAUCACUGACUUAAAAGCUCCUUUGAGUUCUCGUCAUGGUUCAGGGUUAACAAAUCCGACUAGUAUCCAUGAGGAUGUGGGUUCGAUUCCUGGCCUCGCUCAGUGGGUUAAGGAUCUGGUGUUGCUGUGGCUGUGGCAUAGGC